rnacentral:rRNA from 2 species
GGGAAUUGUAAUUUGAAGAGAUUUGGGUCCGGCCGGCGGGGGUUAAGUCCACUGGAAAGUGGCGCCACAGAGGGUGACAGCCCCGUGAACCCCUUUAACGCCCUCAUCCCAAAUCUCCAAGAGUCGAGUUGUUUGGGAAUGCAGCUCUAAGUGGGUGGUAAAUUCCAUCUAAAGCUAAAUACCGGCGAGAGACCGAUAGCGAACAAGUACAGUGAUGGAAAGAUGAAAAGCACUUUGAAAAGAGAGUGAAAAAGUACGUGAAAUUGUUGAAAGGGAAGGGCUUGCAAGCAGACACUUAACUGGGCCAGCAUCGGGGCGGCGGGGAGCAAAACCACCGGGGAAUGUACCUUUCGAGGAUUAUAACCCCGGCCCUUACUCCCAUACUGCCCCGAGGCCUGCAAUCUAAGGAUGCUGGCGUAAUGGUUGCAAGUCGCCCGU